AUUGAACGCUGGCGGCAGGCCUAACACAUGCAAGUCGAGCGGAGCGGCGGACGGGUGAGUAAUGCCUAGGAAUCUGCCUGGUAGUGGGGGAUAACGUCCGGAAACGGGCGCUAAUACCGCAUAUUAUUCGAGCGGCCGAUAACUGAUUAGCUAGUUGGUGGGGUAAAGGCCUACCAAGGCGACGAUCAGUAGCGGGUCUGAGAGGACGAUCCGCCACACGGGGACUGAGACACGGCCCAGACUCCUACGGGAGGCAGCAGUGGGGAAUAUUGGACAAUGGGCGAAAGCCUGAUCCAGCCAUGCCGCGUGUGUGAAGAAGGUCUUCGGAUUGUAAAGCACUUUAAGUUGGGAGGCGUUACCAACAGAAUAAGCACCGGCUAACUUCGUGCCAGCAGCCGCGGUAAUAC
rnacentral:rRNA from 1 species